rnacentral:rRNA from 1 species
UACGUAGGGAGCAAGCGUUGUCCGGAAUCAUUGGGCGUAAAGCGCGCGUAGGUGGCUUCGUAAGUCCGUUGUGAAAACUCGAGGCUCAACCUCGAGACGCCGGCGGAAACCAUCAGGCUAGAGUCCGGAAGAGGAGAGUGGAAUUCCUGGUGUAGCGGUGAAAUGCGCAGAUAUCAGGAAGAACACCCGUGGCUAAGGCGGCUCUCUAGUACGGUACUGACGCUGAGACGCGAAAGCGUGGGGAGCGAACAGG